rnacentral:rRNA from 1 species
CCUACGGGUGGCAGCAGUGAGGAAUAUUGGUCAAUGGGCGCGAGCCUGAACCAGCCAAGUAGCGUGAAGGAUGACUGCCCUACGGGUUGUAAACUGCUUUUAUAAAGGAAUAAAGUGAGGCACGUGGGCCGUUUUGUAUGUACUUUAUGAAUAAGGAUCGGCUAACUCCGUGCCAGCAGCCGCGGUAAUACGGAGGAUCCGAGCGUUAUCCGGAUUUAUUGGGUUUAAAGGGAGCGUAGAUGGGUUGUUAAGUCAGUUGGGCAAGUUUGCGGCGCACCCGUAAAAUUGCAAUUGAUACUGGCAGUCUUUCGUACAGUUGAGGUAGGCGGCAUUCGUGGUGUAGCGG